CUGGAAUAAGAAAACUUUCUUUCAUAGUUUCGUGGCAAUACGGUAUAUUUUGGAGCAUACAUAAGAAAUCCUCAUAGUUCAAACAAAAACAAAGAAAAGAAAAGAAGGUUCUCUAUGUUUUUUGUUAGCACAACACCAAGGCAUGAGAAAUCCCAAAACCCCUCUCUGUUGCAUUCGAAUACGCAAGCACCAGGCGUGCAGUUGUCUGCAGCCACCUUCAGCACCACCAUCUCAACUGCAAUAAUACAUCACAACUUGCAAGCGUUACAUUUAGAUGAACAUGAAAAGAAAGAAUAUAUAUGCAUGCAUAAACAUAGACAAAUCUUAUAUACAUAGAUACAUGCAACACAAUAUAAGAAUGCUACUAUAUAUUUUGUCUUAUCUUCAAAUUUUAAUGAAGCGUUUAUUAUAUUUUUCAGAAAUUUAUAUCAUAGUACUGUUGGAGACUUUCCACAAAACUAAUUUUGGUUCUCUUCCCUGCAUAAAAAUACCACACCAGAUGGAUAUAGUUGUUCCCACAUUCUUUUCAUCUCUAUUCUAAUUAACUUCUCUCAAACUUUUAUAUCUCCAUCUCUUUACAUUACCCUCGCUACGAGCCUUAUAUUUUUAUAAAUGUAUAUUCUUUAUCUCUAUUUCAAAAAUUUGAUAUUUAUUUUUAUUGUUCUCUAUUUAACAUAUUAAUACAAAUAUUUAAAACAAAUCUUCAUUAGAAUAAUAAGAAAUAAAGGAAUAAAAAUAAUGAAAAUAUAAGGGGGGAAAAGAGAGAGGCAGAGGGUAGCAACAUGAGAUCUAAAAUCUUGAUGAUAAUGUUUUCAAAAACAAGUUUAAUAGAAAACAAUAGAAUAAAGCUUUAGUAGAUCUCUUUUUCCCUCUCGUUAAAAAAAAUAGGGUUCCAAUUUCCAUAGAAUUUAACUAAAGUUUUUAUUAAAAAAUUAGAACCUAACCCAAGGUGUUAAAGGGUGUGAUCAUGAACAUAAAAUUGAAGAUGGUUCUACAAAGAGCUAUUCUACUGGUCUACAAGAGAAGUAUGUGAGAAGAGCUUAGCAAUUACCCCCGGCGACGACGAGGAGGACCAAGAGAAAAUAGGAGAGCCUGG
rnacentral:lncRNA from 1 species